rnacentral:lncRNA from 1 species
GAACGCAAGGAAGGAGUCUCUCUCCCCCAUGCUCUGUUUCUUGGAUGAGAAAGAAAAUGAAAGUGGAAGGAAGACAUGCUAUGGUGAUGGGGCAGGGUUUUCUGUUCUGUUUCUUCUGAGCCAAGAUAAGAUGGGACUCCUUCUGCACAGUGAGCAUGUACAGUCACGCAGGGCUGGACACUUGGGAGGGAGUCUGGAAGAGGCAGUGAAUUUGGCUGAAGAGCCCCAUGGCCAGCUGUGCCAUCUUGGUGGCGAGUGGGCUGCCUUUCUGAGCAUCUCUCAAGUUGUUCCGCUGUUGCCAUGGCAGAUCCCACAGUGGUGCCCUUGGGAGCAUGCGCAGUGUGACUGGAGUGGGGGUGGGGAGAGCAGGGGGACUCGUCUCCCUGGAAAAAGAACUGGUACAAUCUGAUUUCAUGUGGGAGAGAGGUUCGGCCACCGCUCCUCAGAUGUCUCUCAGUUCUACUGAAAUUUGGCCCCAGUUCAAGUUGACUACAGCUGGGUUUGGAUGUCAAAAUGUCCCAUUUAGGGACUGGAGAAAGGAGAUGGAAUUGAGUGUUUCAUUUGCAAACCCUCUGUCAUCUAGCGGGUCACCCAGUCACAGUGUCACGGGGAGGCCAGAUGGCAGCGAGGGGGACUGCCAGCCCUGGAGCGCGGUGGAGGCAGCGGCUUCAAUCCAGAUCUUGAUCCAGGCCUUCCGAGGCGGGGUGAGCCCAGGUGAGGAGCCGCGCCGGGACCCGGAGGCCCCUUAGGGCGGAGU